GGUGACGGGAGGAGCGGAAAGGGAGGGGUUCUCUACGGGUUCUGCUGAUUUGUUUAAUCCCACGCUAUUCGGAGGCUUUCACGGAUGGCGGAUGGCGGACAGGAGGGAGGCGGAGGGGUGGGGGUCUCGGCGGGAGUUCCUUCCCAUCCUCCUCCCGCUCCCGCCCCCGCCAGAGCCACCUGACCCGUAGCGAAGUUGCCGGCCCGCCGCGCGCCGGCCUUUGUGCGCACCGCGGCGGCAGCCGGGAACCGGGAGCCCGAGCCGGCUCGGCAGCGCCGCCGCCCCCACCCUCGCGCCCCUUUCCCCUCCCCCACUGUCCCCGGAGCUGGCAAAUAAACAAAUCCACAAACAAAUUCUCCGUGUGCUCGGGAGAGGCGGCGGCGUGGGCGGCGGCGGAGAGGAGGCGCGGGCAAGGCGAGACUGGGCCUCCGCAGAGCGGGGUGGAGUACAGACCCCAGCCCAGGCCCAGCAACACGGAGCGCGGAUACGCGCGGAGGCAGCAGCGGCGGCGGCGGCCGCGGGAGCAGGGACGGUCGCCUUGGGGGCCAGGCCGGAUGAACAGGACCCCGCGGACACUCGGCUCCCAGCCGGCCCGCAGCGCUGGGGACUUGCCUGGCUACCUUUUGGGGGUUCCCGCGCCCCUCUCCGCCCAGGGCAGCAGAGUGCGGGGGCCCCCGGGAGCCGAAGAGCGGGGAGCCGAGGCGGCGGUGGCCCGGGAGCGGCAGGCGGCGGCGGCAGCUCCCGCCUGGACUGGUAAUUGCGCUCGGGGCCGGGCCGGGGCGAGGCGGGCAAGCGGCCUCUCUGGGUCCCCCCGUCUUUCUCCAGGAACAGCUCGAGCGCCUUCUCGCUGGCCCGCUGCGCGCGGAGAGGGCGAGCUCGCUGGGUUGUAAAAAGAGACGAGUUUUCAUCUUUGAG